AAUUAAAGUUGUUGCGGUUAAAAAGCUCGUAGUUGGAUCUCAGUUCCGGAUCGACGGUUCGCCUCUGGUGAUUUACUGUCGGUCCGAACAGCUCGUCGGCUCGCUCGGGGUGCUCUUCACCGAGUGUCCCGCGUGGCCGGCACGUUUACUUUGAAAAAAUUAGAGUGCUCAGAGCAGGCUUACCGCCUGAAUAGUUGUGCAUGGAAUAAUGGAAUAGGACCUCGGUUCUAUUUUGUUGGUUUUCGGAACCCGAGGUAAUGAUAAAUAGAGACGGACGGGGGCAUUCGUAUUGCGACGCUAGAGGUGAAAUUCUUGGACCGUCGCAAGACGAACUACUGUGAAAGCAUUUGCCAAGAACGUUCUUAUUAAUCAAGAACGAAAGUCAGAGGUUCGAAGGCGAUCAGAUACCGCCCUAGUUCUGACCAUAAACUAUGCUGACUAGCGAUCCGUUUGUGUUAAUCCCAUGACUAGACGGGCAGCUUCCGGGAAACCAAAGUCUUUGAGUUCCGGGGGAAGUAUGGUUGCAAAGCUGAAACUUAAAGGAAUUGACGGAAGGGCACCACCAGGAGUGGAGCCUGCGGCUUAAUUUGACUCAACACGGGGAACCUCACCAGGCCCGGACACCGGAAGGAUUGACAGAUUGAGAGCUCUUUCUUGAUUCGGUGGGUGGUGGUGCAUGGCCGUUCUUAGUUGGUGGAGCGAUUUGUCUGGUUAAUUCCGAUAACGAACGAGACUUUAGCCUGCUAACUAGUCGGAGGGUCUAAUACAAGUGCCCUCCGCAGCUUCUUAGAGGGAUAAGCGGCAUCUA
rnacentral:rRNA from 1 species